CGGCGGACGGGUGAGUAACGCGUGGGUAACCUACCCUGUACACACGGAUAACAUACCGAAAGGUAUGCUAAUACGGGAUAAUAUAUUUGAGAGGCAUCUCUUGAAUAUCAAAGGUGAGCCAGUACAGGAUGGACCCGCGUCUGAUUAGCUAGUUGGUAGGUAACGGCUUACCAAGGCGACGAUCAGUAGCCGACCUGAGAGGGUGAUCGGCCACAUUGGAACUGAGACACGGUCCAA
rnacentral:rRNA from 1 species